rnacentral:misc_RNA from 1 species
CUUCGUUUGUGGUAUAUAUAACUCUCGGCAAUGCUUCGUGGAUAGUCUCUAUGCCCCCUGUUCGUGGCAUGGAGAGUGCUUCAUUGAAUGACACCCUUCCCCCACCUCUUGCUUCGUCUGUCAUCUCAUGACAUUCUCGUUGCUUAGGCGGUGAACUUAGGGUGUCAUUAUAUUGUUGCAAAUGUGGCUUAUUCGAGAAACGGGCUUUGGUGUCAUGGCGCACCUUGCUCGAGCUGGUUAAUUCGAAGGUGAUAUCGUGCCUUAUCCCUCUGUGCGACUUUGGUUCUUUCCCCUACUACCAUCUCGAUGGUUGUUGUGGGUGAGACGCUAAUAGUUGUGUUGAGGCCGUGCUACCUGGUUGAUCCUGCCAGUAGUCAUAUGCUUGUCUCAAAGAUUAAGCCAUGCAUGUG